UUCCCUUCGGGGACAUUGGUGACAGGUGGUGCAUGGUUGUCGUCAGCUCGUGUCGUGAGAUGUUGGGUUAAGUCCCGCAACGAGCGCAACCCUUGUCUUUAGUUGCCAUCAUUAAGUUGGGCACUCUAGAGAGACUGCCAGGGAUAACCUGGAGGAAGGUGGGGAUGACGUCAAAUCAUCAUGCCCCUUAUGCUUAGGGCUACACACGUGCUACAAUGGGUAGUACAGAGGGUUGCCAAGCCGUAAGGUGGAGCUAAUCCCUUAAAGCUACUCUCAGUUCGGAUUGUAGGCUGAAACUCGCCUACAUGAAGCUGGAGUUACUAGUAAUCGCAGAUCAGAAUGCUGCGGUGAAUGCGUUCCCGGGUCUUGUACACACCGCCCGUCACACCACGGGAGUUGGAGACGCCCGAAGCCGAUUAUCUAACCGUUUGGAAGAAGUCGUCGAAGGUGGAAUCAAUAACUGGGGUGAAGUCGUAACAAGGUAGCCGUAUCGGAAGGUGCGGCUGGAUCACCUCCUUUCUAAGGA
rnacentral:rRNA from 1 species